rnacentral:misc_RNA from 1 species
UCUCCGUAGGUGAACCUGCGGAGGGAUCAUUACCGAGCUCAUGCCCUUACGGGUAGAUCUCCCACCCUGUGUUGUUAUUACCUUUGUUGCUUUGGCGGGCCGCCAGGCUCCGGUCAGGCUAUCGGCUUCGGCUGGUAAGCGCCCGCCAGAGGACCCUAUAUCCUGAUUAUUAGUGUCGUCUGAGUACUAUAUAAUAGUUAAAACUUUCAACAACGGAUCUCUUGGUUCUG